AUUCACAUAGUAUUAACACGAUCCAAUUAUAAGAUCUCACUAGUAUUAAAUUUGUAUUAGGUUAACUUGAU